GAAAAAAAGCAAUAUAUUCAAAAAAAAAAGAGAAGCAAAAGAAACAAAAAAAAAAGCAACAUCCACUCGCCAACUUGCAGUUGUUGCUGUUGAUGCACAUACAAUUGAGUGCUUGGAAGACAAUUUUUGGUGCUCGCAAGAUGAAGACACAACUGCUACUGCAUGCAAGGCAUGUGAAUACAAAGCCUGUACAAUGGAUUCUGUGGGUUAAAUCGUCAGUCGACAAGAGAAAGAUGGAUGCUAUACAAAAGAGAAAAAGAAGGCAUAUGAAACAAUGAAACCAAAGAGAAUAUCAAAGGAGGAGAUACUUCGUCUAAUGGAGGAAAAGAAACAACUCAAAGAAGCAUGUGAAGACAAAGCCUGUACAAUGGAUUUUGUAGGUCAAAUCCUGAGACGACAAG